rnacentral:rRNA from 1 species
CAGUAGCCGCGGUAAUGCGAAGGGUGCAAGCGUUAAUCGGAAUUACUGGGCGUAAAGCGUGCGUAGGCGGUUUGUUAAGUCUGUUGUGAAAUCCCCGGGCUCAACCUGGGAAUGGCAAUGGAUACUGGCAAGCUAGAGUGUGUCAGAGGAUGGUGGAAUUCCCGGUGUAGCGGUGAAAUGCGUAGAGAUCGGGAGGAACAUCAGUGGCGAAGGCGGCCAUCUGGGACAACACUGACGCUGAGGCACGAAAGCGUGGGGAGCAAACAGGAUUAGAUACCCCAGUAGUCCCUGACUCUUAUAC